AAGGAGUCUAACACAUAUGCGAGUAUUUGGGUGUUAAACCCAAGAUGCGCAAUGAAAGUAUUAAGGUGGGAUCUUCGGUGCACCAUCGACCGGUCUGGAUAUUUUUAGAAAGAUCUGAGUAAGAGCAUAUUUGUUAGGACCCGAAAGAUGGUGAACUAUGCCUGAAUAGGGCGAAGCCAGAGGAAACUCUGGUGGAGGCUCGUAGGGGUUCUGACGUGCAAAUCGAUCCUCAAAUUUGGGUAUAGGGGCGAAAGACUAAUCGAACUAUCUAGUAGCUGGUUCCUGC
rnacentral:misc_RNA from 1 species